rnacentral:rRNA from 1 species
UACAGAGGUCUCAACCGUUGUUCGGAUUCAUUGGGCGUAAAGGGUGCGUAGGCGGUCGCGCAAGUCGGAUGUGAAAUCUCAGGGCUCAACCCUGAAACUGCAUUCGAUACUGCGUGGCUAGAGUACUGGAGAGGAGAUUGGAAUUUACGGUGUAGCAGUGAAAUGCGUAGAUAUCGUAAGGAAGACCAGUGGCGAAGGCGAAUCUCUGGACAGUUACUGACACUGAGGCACGAAGGCCAGGGGAGCAAACGGG